UCGGAUAAGAGGCUGAAACUCGCCUCUUUGAAGUCGGAAUCGCUAGUAAUCGCAGAUCAGCAUGUUGCGGUGAAUACGUUCCCGGGUCUUGUACACACCGCCCGUCAAACCAUGAGAGUCACCAACACCCGAAGUCCGCCUUGGCGGCCUAAGGUGGGGGAGAUGAUUGGGGUUAAGUCGUAACAAGGUAAC
rnacentral:rRNA from 1 species